rnacentral:rRNA from 1 species
GUUAUUAAGGGCGCAGGGCGGAUGCCUUGGCACUA